rnacentral:lncRNA from 1 species
GGGUAACUUCCCGCUGCCCGGGACGGAGUUUCUCCGUUGCCCACGGACAUCCAGGAGGCGGUGUGGAGGGCAAGCAGGGUAACCCCCACUCCUAAACCACAUCUAUCCAAGGGGAGCCCGAGGAGCCAGCAGGUCCGGACUCGCUGAGGAGGCUCCUCGUGGGGCCUCCCACGCACAGGUGCUGAGCUGGGCCAGCGGGUAUCUCCAGGCAGCCUCUGCUAAUGAGCUCUUAGCAGGUAAACAGCUCUUCCUUGACCCCCCUUCAGGAUAUGCAAGAGACAGGACUGACCUGAGCUGGUACGUGGCUGAGAAGCAGAAACCACCCGGUCUACAGUCCCUUAAUGUUCUCCCAGCUGGGACCUCUCUGCACUCUGUGGCCGGGGCCUCAGGGCCUCCAGGAACAGAGGGACAGACCCAGGCUGUUGGGAAGCAGGGCUGCUUAGAAAGAAGGUCACCGUAGUUGUUUAAGACCAUGGAGGUUGUGGGCAGGCCAAAUGGGGCUGGCCUGGAGCCUCUACCUUUCAUCAUACCAUAGCAUCCGCUGAUGAUGAUCAGAAUCCAUGCCUUAAGCCCAGAGCUGUCCAGUGACAGCCUUUUCGGGGAUGGGGACGAGGCUCUAGGUGAGUCCACAAGAGAAGUUGGGGGGGGGGAGCUGUUAAUGCUGUGGAGCCCAGGACAUAGACGGUGCCUGGGAUGACUGUAAAAUCCUCACAGGACAGAGGCGGAGACAAAUUCCAGCUGCCCCCGCACGCCAGAACACACCACCGCUCUGCUCCUUACAAGCCUGCCAGGUGAGAUUGACACAGGGUGGGUAGAAGCGGGUGCAACUGGGGCUCCUGUCACCUGGCUGCCUGAAUGUAUCCUCAGGCUCUCCCUCUCUCCCCUUCCCUCUCGCACCCUCCUGCUUUCCAGGUCCUGGCUCUGCUUCCCUGACCCCAUCUGCAGACUCGAGCAAGCCCCAGCCCGGGAGGGGCUGCACCCUGCAACCUUCCCCCAGCUGUCUCCUUUGGAUCUUUUUGCGGUCUGGGCUUGCUGUUCUCUCUACAGUUGUCAGGAAGCCCUUACCCCAAAAAGUAUCUACGGGAGGCUUGGUCUACAGGGGAGACCCCCCCCCAAGGGCUCCAGGUGAGUCACACCAAACCCAAGAACACCAUGUGGACCUAGGGCGUCUUUGCCAUACCUUAGUGUUGCUGGGUGACCAUGGGUUGUCGGUCUUCCUAAGGCUGUGACCCUUUAAUACAGUUCCUGAUCUUGUGGUGACCCCGGCCAUAAUAUUGUUUUGUUGCUACUUUGUAAUUGUUAUUUUCUACCGAUAUGAAUUAUAAUUUAUAUAUCUGAUAACAGGAUAUCUGUGACCCCCCCCCCUCAAGUGGGUUGUGACCCACAGGUUGAGAACCAGUGACCUUUCCUUAUAGACACUGUUUAGUAGGAGUGGCUUCAGUCAAUACCAGAGAAGGCCACUUGGGGAGAUGUUGCUGGCUAUCAUGGGCACUCCUGGCAGGACUGUCACUCAAUAUGUCCAGCCCUCCUUCCUGUGCAUUGGGUAGACAUGAGAUCCAAGACAGGCCUGGCUAUUGGAAUCCUGGGCAGAGGGACCUGUGACUGGGAACACCACAGUUGACCCCAGCAGCCGAGUGAAGAUGGUGAGCGUCUGCGGCAGGAUGAGGUGGCCAGCAUCUUCCUGCCGUCCCUUAGCCUGAAUCAGUCGCCAUGACCCCCUUUCUCCUGUGAGUCACUACUAGUCCUUCAAAUAAAAUCCUUGACUGCUCAAGUUAACCAGACGAAUACCAUUACUAACCUCUGAUUCACCGCCAUCUAGAGGGAGGAGGGGGGAUUACGCGCUAGAGAAAAGGCACCGACUUGGGGGAGGAAAUCUGCUGUCAGUCACCCUUAGAGGAGGCAUUGAGGAGAGUCCAUAGGCAAGGAGUGAGGUAAAAUCCAGGGGAACUAUCUGAAGUGCCGUGUUGGAAUAAGCAGAGGACUGACAUUACAUAGGAAGAUUUAAAGUCACCUUGUCCUCAGUUUCCAAAGGUGGUAAGGAUAGGUGAUGACAAUUGCCGGUGGCUCCUGCCAGUUUAAGGGAGUUGGGUACAACUCUGCAGCUGUGGUGAGGCUCGUCAGGGAUGGCCACAUGGGUAUCCAUCUCAUUCCCCUCCGCCCCCACCCCACCUCUGUGCUUCCUGGUUCUAUGCCUUUUCUUAUCUGGAUCUCUCUGCUCUUUUCACACCCAGGUGCGGGAUGGGUGUGGGCAGCCCUGGACAAGGAAUCCAUCUCAUUGUUAACAAAGUCACAGAUCUUCAGCAACAAAGCCCCCAGAAGGUUACCUCCCUGUGCAGAACCACGGGAGGCAAUUCUAAGGGGAUAUGUACGCUGGUGUGUGAGCCUCGCUGAGUUCAAGGGUGGCAAGGGAGCCUCGGUGGUGGGGCUGCUGGAGUGUGCUGUGGCGGUUCAGGAAGGAGAACUGAGUUCACAGGUCAGAAGGGAGGACUGUAGGUGUGUGGGGCAAACGCCACCACCUGGAGACAGGAAGACAUCGGGGGAGAAGGCACGACGUGGACAGGCCACAUUACAAGGAGCUCAGGGUCCCCAUGCUCUCUAAGAUCUCAAUUCUGGCCCCAGCAUAGCAGGUUUGCUAGGCCACGGUCCCCAGCAUGCGGGUGGGAACGGGGUGCGUAGCUCAAGGGCGGCAUCUUGCGGUCAUCUUGGGGAACUUCACCCUACAUUCUCUAUGGCGUGAGGGUAUUGUCUGACUCUGGAGGACCGCAGUCUUUCCUUGCCAAUUAGGGAUUUCUGUGCCAAGCAGCCCCCCGCCCCCAAGAGCCACAGAGCCUGGGGCGAGGUAGAGGUAGGCGGGAAAGGAUGCUUGUGGGAGGCGCCCUUCACUGAGGUUGUUUUACAGUUUGUUCAUCACCCGGGAUAAGUCAGCUCUCGAAAUGGGUUUCUAGGUCCACAGCCUGGACAUUUGACUGACAUUUGCCCCUUGCUCCUCAGUUGAGUAUCUCAAGUCUCAGUUUGGCUCCCUCGGGGAACUGUUCCCAUUAGAGGGUAUCUUUUGGAAAAGACUUCAGCUCCCAGCGUUCAUAGGAAGAAUCUGGACUUCCAAGUCAGAUGCGUAAUCUAGGAACAGCUGUGUGCUUUCUGGAACGUCCUUAACCCUCUCUGUGCUUCAUUUUGCUCAUCCUCAAAACGGGGGUAAUAAGACCUUCCAUAGAAGACCGUGGGUUCUGACUCUGGGCCCAAUGAAUGUCAGCUCUGGGGUGGGAUCCACGUGACCACCUGUGUAUAGCUGUCUUUCUUGUGUAUGUGUGGUGUUGGUAACCAGACAGGAAGGAGGUUGAUGCAAGGCCUCUUCAUUGGCAUGGCCCAUACGUCCAGAGAAAGGAUUGAGAGCUUAGCACCAGCGAGGAAGCCUAAGGGUUUCCCGGAAGUCCGGCUGGAGCAGAGACAUCAACGGUGGCUGGAGUUAUCACUUCCCAUGAGCCUGACAACAGGUGACCCUGUAAACGAACAUGACUUCAGCCACGUUGUUCAGCCACCCCUGCCUGUGAACCUCUGCUUGCCUUCAAAGCCUCUCUGUUGAUCCCCAAGGUCACCUGCUCCCAGCGGGGCCUGGGGGUGUGACAGAGAACACCAAAGAACUUCCUGAAUGAAGCUGGCAGUCACACGCAGGGGACUGGACAGGCCCUAUUGGUGCUUUCGCAUUUCCAUUUGUACCCUAAGUCCUGGGGCAGCUGCUGACCCCAGUCACACAGCAUCUUUGCUCUGGACUCUGGGCCUUCUUUUCUGUCCUCUUCCUUACUCCUUCCCUCUUUCUUUUCCAGAGGCUUACCUUGUCCAGCCAGGAAUUAUCUCAGAUCUGAUCCUGCCCUUGAAGAGGUCCUGGGGACCAGAGCACGCCCAUCCUGAAGGCUGUGCCCUUUAGAGGUGUGGGCUGGGCAUUCUGGAUAGGAACAGAGCGUGUGGACCAGUGUUCCAGGACCUGGCUCCUUUGCUGAAAGACUAAGAAGUCCUCCCUUUGAGCUCUUUUAACAUUAAGGCUGCAGGAUCAUUGGCACAAUCCAGGGCUCAGUCUUUUGGGGCAGAGAAUCUCAAAGUAGGGGCCUCCUUAGUACCUACUGCUCAGCGUCGCACUGGAGGGUUUUUUCUGAUUUUGUUUGUCAUGUCUUCAGAAAGCCUGUUGUUCAACGGUUUUCAGCACCCAAUGGCUCUGUCCAGCAUUGAAGAUGGAGCCCAGAAACGUCAUAAGAUGACUCCCCGCACACUUGUGUGUAAAAACCACUGGCCCAGGGCUCAGCUUUGGUGGAAUCAUGACAAAAGAGUCCAGGGGUUGACCCUUGAAAAUCAGAGUUGCUGAAUGGCUAAGGUUUUUUACAAAGAAAUACUGGGAAAGACCGAGAAAGAAGAAAAGAUAAAGGACGAGGUAGGACUCCCCUCUGGGGAGAGAAGCAGGGGAGGAGGUCUUGGAAAUCAGACUUCCAGGGGCAGAGGAGGUGGUGGACGCAGCCAGUUUCCUGUGUGUGCAAUUUGACCCCCACAUCUGAAUGAGGGUCAAUUUCAGAAGGGCAAGGAUAAUUGACUGGGGCUCGGGGGGUGGGGGGGAGCCCUUUGGGCAUCCAUUUCCACAGAGGAGAAAAACAUCCUGUGAACACUUGUUGGAAACCCGGGGAAGGGAAUCUUGAGAAGGUUCUCCCAUGUCCGUGCCCUUCCCGUGUGAGUGCCAGGACUUUGUAUCACUCCUUUUCUUUGUCUCCUCUCAGUUGUGAAGUAUUUCAACCUCACAGCAAGAAACAAGGGAGGGACAGGACAAGGGCCAUGUACCCACCCCCAACAAAUGGCAUUUGCUGCAUUUACAUCAGAUUCUUAAAACAAACAACAACAACAAAAACAACAACAACAAAACCCCAUGGCUGAAGUCCCUUUGUGCCACUUUCUUUCUCCAAAUACACAGCCGCUAGCCUGCACUCCUCAGGUAAUUUUCUCACACACGUGCUCGCCCCAUAUUACUCAUAAAUGACAACUAGCAGCACUUCGAGCGAGAGCUUUUUAUUUUGCAUAAGCGGUGUCAGAGUGACCCUGUCAUCUGAGAACUCGCUGUGUAUUUUAAAAUCUAGCAUUGUGUUUCCAAGCACACCGAUUCACUUCUGAAUAACUGGACGGCGCAAGAAAACCACAGUUCGUGCCCCGACUCCCGAUGGACAUUUCAGUUUGCCCCAGCCUGGAUACAGCCUGUUCCUUCUGAAACUUGUGUUGGAAUUUGAUUGCCGUCACAUCAGAGUUCGUCAGUCAGGGGCCUCCAUCCGCAUGAAUGGCUUAAUCCAUUCAUGGUCUAAUAGGUCAGCUCAAGAAUGACUUCCGUAUAGAGCGAGUCUCUCUUGGAGGGGUAAUGCCUGUGGUUAUCCCAGCGUAGGCUCAGGAUCCUGAGUUUGAAGUGGGUAGCAACUGUCUUAGUCACCGUUCUAUUGCUGGGACGACAAUCCAUAGCCCAGGCGACUCUCACAGAAGAAAGCAUUUAAUCGGGGCCUUUCAGAGGUUUCGUUUAUUACCCUCUGGGAACAUGGUGGGACACAUGCAGGCAUGGUGCUGGAGAAGUAGCCGAGAGCUACAUCCAGAUCCACAGACAGAAAAAGAGAGAGAGAAUGGGCCUGGGAUGAACUUUUGAAACCUCAACCCCUGCAUACACACACAUGCACACGCACACAUAUACACACAUGCACACGUGACAUACUUCCUCCAAUCCUUCUAAUCCUAUCAAAGUCACUUCUUAGUGACUAGAAUUCACUAGAAUUCACUAGUCUAUAGGGGUCAUUCUUAUCCAGACAGCAGCAGCAACUUAGCAAGAUCAAUCUCAAAAUAAAAUAAGCACAAUGGCUAGAGGUGAAGGCCAAUGGUCCUCGGUUGAAACCCCAGCACCAUUAAACCAAACAAAGACAGCAACAAGAAUAAAGAUAUAGGUAAGUAUGGAAAGGGGAAUGGUAGUGGUAAGAUGCCUUAGCCCAACAGCCAGAUUGGAUCCUAGGAACUUACAUGCUGGAAGAGAACACUCAGCUGUCCUCUGACCAUCACAUACAUGCAGAGGCAUGUGUGACUGACCAUCACAUACAUGCAGAGGCACAUGUGGCUGCAUUGUCACUCCUUACUGCUGCAUAUUUGUAUGUGCACACAGACAUACACAUUAAAUAAAACACUAACCCACAGCUAAGAAAAACAGAAUAACAACAGAGAAAGCAGUGAGCUCUCUGACUAGCUCCCUCUUUCUUACCUGAGAUGUGCUCCGCCAUGUUUUGAUGCAGCAGGAAGACCCUGUUCUGUACGGUUCAGAGAAUGAUCUCCAGGGACCAUGCUUAAAUAUAUAGUAAGCAGAAGGGGGGAGAGGGAGAGGGAGAGAGAGAGAGAGAGAGAGAGAGAGGAGAACCACAGAGAUAGAAACAGCAGUUCAACAUCAUCAAAUCAGGCAUCUCCCUCUGGCUUAGAUGGUGUUGUCCGAUUGGACAAGCAGACAAAGGUAGCAUCAUGGAGUUGGUGCUUACACCAGCAAAAAUGGAGUGGGGAAGUUGAGGCAGUCAGUUGAGUUCCUGACUGAGCUUGCUUUCCAUGAAAGAGUUCCUUGCCACUUGGAAAGCCUUUACCUCCCAGCUGUUGUUGUCAAGGUCAGGAUGCUUUUAAUACCCUUGGCUGCCGGCUAUUUCCAGUUCUCUUUGUUACAGAACCAGGCUGACUCAAGACAAGGAGUUGGAGAGACAAAGGAAGGCAUCUUUGCUUCACAUACAUGCAGAGCCAUGUGUGACUGACCAUCAUAUACAUGCAGUGGCACAUGUGGCUGUAUUUUCACUCCUUGCUGCUGCAUGUUUGCAUGUGCACACAGACAUACAUAUUAAAUAAAACACUAAACCAAAGCUAAGAAAAGCACAAUAAUGACAGAAAAGGCAGUGAGUUUUCUGACUAUAGCUUCCUCUUUCUUACCUGAGACGUGCUAAGAGUCUACUUUCAAGAAAUUUAGGAGAACAUGGCAAUUUAUUAAUACAAUAUGUAUUUCAGACCCUUACCAGGUGACAGGCAGGUGUCAGAAACAUGCUAUGUACUCCCCAGACUCAAGAAUUAUAAGCUUAAUAAACCCAUAUUCUCCAUAAAUUAGUGAGUCCUAGAUAUUUUGUGAAAAGUAACACAGAAAUGGACUAAAAUUUUUUUUUUCUGAUUUGUCACGAUGACUUUCGAUAAAUACCUUCAGUCGUG